UUACUUUGAAAGCAUAAUGCAAGACUCCUGUACACAGAAUAAAAGAAAAUGGCCAAAUAAAAAGGGAAAGAUCAUCAUGCUCAGGAACGACAUUUACCGCUGCCGAGCGUCAGGCAUCUUUCUUCGCUUGGAGGGCGGUGGCUUGAUUGCCGGCAACAACAUUUACCACAAUGCAGAGGCUGGUGUAGACAUCCGGAAAAAGUCCAACCCACUCAUACUGUGUAACCAGAUCCACCACGGCCUUCGCUCUGGCAUUGUCGUCCUUGGCAAUGGGAAAGGCAUCAUCCGGAACAAUCAAAUCUUUUCCAAUAAGGAGGCUGGCAUUUACAUCCUGUACCACGGAAACCCCGUUGUGAGCGGGAACCACAUUUUCAAGGGCCGUGCUGCCGGCAUAGCAGUGAAUGAGAACGGCAAAGGCCUCAUCACAGAAAAUGUCAUCCGUGAGAAUCAGUGGGGAGGUGUGGACAUCCGCCGUGGAGGGAUCCCCGUUCUCAGGAGUAACCUCAUCUGCUUUGGCUAUUCAGAUGGUGUGGUUGUGGGAGACGAAGGCAAAGGCCUCAUAGAAGGAAAUACCAUCUACGGGAGACUCAGGUGCCGCUUCACCUGAGUUCAGUGUCCGUGACCAGCUCCUCUCACUGUCCCAGCUAACAAGGGCUGUGGUGUGUGGAUGAUGUCGUCCAGCCUCCCCCAUGUCACCAGCAACCACGUCAGCUACAAUGGCCUGUAUGGAGUGGCAGUAUUUAGCCAGAAGGAUGGCUCCAGCGA
rnacentral:sRNA from 1 species